rnacentral:rRNA from 1 species
CAAUAGCGUAUAUUAAAGUUGUUGCGGUUAAAAAGCUCGUAGUUGGAGUUCUGCCAGGUGCCGCCUGUCCGCCCCAGUGGUGAGUACGUGGCGCGCAUUUGGCCCUUUCAAGGGGAGCGUAUCUGCACUUUAUUGUGUGGUGCGGGAUCCUUGACUUUUACUUUGAAAAAAUUAGAGUGUUCAAAGCAGGCCUAUGCUCUGAAUAGGUUAGCAUGGAAUAAUAAAAUAGGACUUUGGUUCUAUUUUGUUGGUUUCUAGGACCGAAGUAAUGAUUAAUAGGGACAGUUGGGGGCAUUCAUAUUCCAAUGUCAGAGGUGAAAUUCUUGGAUUAUCGGAAGAUGAACUUCUGCGAAAGCAUCUGCCAAGGAUGUUUUCAUUGAUCAAGAACGAAAGUUAGGGGAUCGAAGACGAUUAGAUACCAU